UGGGGAAUCUUGCGCAAUGGGCGAAAGCCUGACGCAGCCAUGCCGCGUGAAUGAUGAAGGUCUUAGGAUUGUAAAAUUCUUUCACCGGGGACGAUAAUGACGGUACCCGGAGAAGAAGCCCCGGCUAACUUCGUGCCAGCAGCCGCGGUAAUACGAAGGGGGCUAGCGUUGCUCGGAAUUACUGGGCGUAAAGGGAGCGUAGGCGGACAUUUAAGUCAGGGGUGAAAUCCCGGGGCUCAACCUCGGAAUUGCCUUUGAUACUGGGUGUCUUGAGUAUGAGAGAGGUGGGUGGAACUCCGGGUGUAGAGGUGAAAUUCGUAGAUAUUCGGAAGAACACCAGUGGCGAAGGCGACACACUGGCUCAUUACUGACGCUGAGGCUCGAAAGCGUGGGGAGCAAACAGG
rnacentral:rRNA from 1 species